AGCUUAGGACUGCCAGUCUUUUUUAGAACUCUUCAAACUGUGAGGAUUACUCUAGUAAUCCACAAGGAAAAAAUAGUUUGUCUAGUCCAAGGUGGUUAUGUUAAGCUUCGAAUGAAAGGAGAAGGGGACUGCAAAGCACCUUUCUGGACCAUGUAAUCUACUACUGGGUUUUCCAAUGGAGGAGACAAUGUUGACACUGCCGGGUGAAGAGAAGCCCCAGAAGCAGCUGAGGUUCCGCGUGGCUUCGGGGAAUAGCGGUCGGGUGCUGAAGGAGAUUUUUAAAGAUGAGGGGCCAUCAGACUCGUUGGAUUCAGACUGCACCAGCAGUUUGGAUGUAGACCGGAUCAGUACACCUUCCACAAGUGGAGAUGCUAACGGACAUGGUUUUCUGUAUGGGUUUCUGGGCUCCGAGUUGGAUUAUAGCGAGAGUGAGCCAGAUGAUCUGCUCAUGUAUGCGGGGACUUCAAAGGACAGAGCACCGAUCAGCCACAAGCGUGUCAACAUCCUCAGCAACAAUGGGACUGUGAGGGGAGUCAAGCACAAAGUCAGUGCAGGUCAGGCCUUAUUUGAAAAUCUCCCUAAUGCAUUUGGGCCGAAGUUGACACUAGAGUUUGGGCGGAUAGUGAUAUACACCACCAGCUUCCGAGUAGUAAGGGCCACAUUUGAGAGGUGUGAGUUGGUCCGGAAGAUCUUCUCCAACCACAGGGUCAAGUUCCUGGAAAAGAACAUAGCCCUGGACUGUGAGUAUGGGAAGGACCUGGAGGAACGAUGCAAGCACGUGGGCGAACCUCCCUCGCUACCAGUCGUGUUCAUCGAUGGACACUAUCUCGGGGGUGCUGAAAAAAUAUUGGGCAUGAAUGAAUCAGGAGAACUUCAGGAUCUUCUGGCCAAAAUUGAGGUAAUUGUUCAUCAAGUACCACCAUGCGACAGAUAUAAUACGUUCAGUAAUAACACAGGUAACUGCACAGUUAUUAACUAGUUAAAUGUCAUGUUUCAAAUGAUGCCUUUGUCCAAACAAACAUCAAUGAAGCACAGGCUAGCAGUAGAGCACUUCUAUACCACAUUGGCUACUCAUCUACUGUGACAAAAUACCAGUUCUAUGUAUCUGUGAUCUAGAGCAGUGGUUCCCAGUCCUAGUCCUGGGGACCCAAAGCCUGAUGAUAAGUUGAUGAUUUUAAUUAGAUGUGUAGUGCUUUGAUUCAAAUCAUCAACACCUGAUGACAAGUUGAUGAUUUGAAUCAGGUGUGUAGUGCUUUGAUUCAAAUCAUCAAAGCCUGAUGACAAGUUGAUGAUUUGAAUUAGAUGUGUAGUGCUUUGAUUCAAAUCAUCAAAGCCUGAUGACAAGUUGAUGAUUUGAAUUAGAUGUGUAGUGCUUUGAUUCAAAUCAUCAACACCUGAUGACAAGUUGAUGAUUUGAAUCAGGUGUGUAGUGGUUUGAUUCAAAUCAUCAAAGCCUGAUGACAAGUUGAUGAUUUGAAUUAGAUGUGUAGUGCUUUGAUUCAAAUCAUCAAAGCCUGAUGACAAGUUGAUGAUUUUAAUCAGGUGUGUAGUGCUUUGAUUCAAAUCAUCAAAUCCUGAUGAGAAGUUGAUGAUUUGAAUCAGGUGUGUAGUGCUUUGAUUCAAAUCAUCAAAGCCUGAUGACAAGUUGAUGAUUUGAAUUAGAUGUGUAGUGCUUUGAUUUAAAUCAUCAAAGCCUGAUGACAAGUUGAUGAUUUGAAUUAGAUGUGUAGUGCUUUGAUUCAAAUCAUCAAAGCCUGAUGACAAGUUGAUGAUUUGAAUCAGGUGUGUAGUGCUUUGAUUCAAAUCAUCAAAUCCUGAUGAGAAGUUGAUGAUUUGAAUCAGGUGUGUAGUGCUUUGAUUCAAAUCAUCAAAGCCUGAUGACAAGUUUAUGAUUUGAAUUAGAUGUGUAGUGCUUUGAUUCAAAUCAUCAAAGCCUGAUGACAAGUUGAUGAUUUGAAUCAGGUGUGUAGUGCUAGGACAAAAACAAAGGACCAGGGUUAAGAACCAGUGAUCUAGAGAGAUACACAGUACAGAAUAAGAAUAGAAGGCCUUGAUUCCAUUCCCCCUUCAGCCCAGCAGUGGAGAAUGAAUGAAGAAUAAACCUCAGUCAGAUAUGACAUCAAUAAUAGAUCAGGGAACUGACAUAAAUGAUGCACGAGCAUCAAUAAAUGGCCAUCAAUAAUGGAAGGCUCGUUAUUGAUUCUCAUCCAACAAAUUUGUUCACACACACGGUGAGUCAUAUCACUCAGGGGUGGCAAAUUAAGGUUGUGUGAACUGAAGUGAUUCAAACAGAGCCAAGAUACUUACACAGGCAUAGUGCUCUGAAAAAAACUCUGUAUUUAACCCUUUCCUCUCAGGGAAAAUUUCAGCAGAAUACAAGGCCAUGUUGGCAAGCUAUCAAAGCAAAGAGCCCAAUUAGGCUUACUACAAUGCAGCAGAGCAAACCCCCAAAGAUCUUGCAUAUAGUACCGAACUAUGCUAGACUAUGAAUUUAGCCAGUGGCAUGACUGGCGUGUGUGUGUGUGUUUGUGUAUGUUUGUGUGUGAGUGCAUGUGCCUUUUCCCCCAGAGGGUACAGCACCCCCAUACGUGCCAGACCUGUGGGGGCUUUGCCUUCGUCCCGUGCCCCAUGUGCCAUGGUAGCAAGAUGUCUGUUUUCCGCAACUGCUUCACAGACUCUUUCAAAGCCCUGAAGUGCACCUGGUGCAACGAG